GCCUUCAUAGUGUAACGGUAGCACACUCGGCUCGUAUCGAAAGGUCCAGGUUCGAGUCCUGGCGCUGGCA
rnacentral:tRNA from 1 species